AGUGGUGGGUACCCCGGCUCGGCCCCCGUCCAGCACAACUUCAGCAUUAAUUCUGUUGCCAGCACCUAUUCUGAGUUUGCGCGAGAACUUUCAAAGGCUUCCAAAUCUGACGCUACUUCUGGAAUCCUCAAUUCAACCAACAUCCAGUCCUAAGGCCCUGAGCAGUCAACCAGCUGUGGCUUCCUGUGCCUAGACUGGACCUCAUUUUAUGGGGGAGGCUUUAGUUUUUCUUGAGCUUAGGUGUGCUCAAAACCCUAGCCUUGGACAGGCUCCAUGACCAUGGGCCUAUUAGAGAUAUAAAGAGUGUUACAGAUGAACGUCCACCACAGGUUUAGUGGUCCUAGGAGACUUAGUUUUGACUUUAAAAGUUUAUGGCAGAAAGUACAAAUUUUAGCAUAUGGGGCCUGACUUCUUUACCACAUAAUUCUGCUUCCUGAAGUGUGAUCAAAAGCUUGUUUUAUUUCACCACUGUGUAGGAAAAUUAUUAACUAACUGUGCCCAUCCCUAGGGUAAUUUUGGCUUGUGUACUUGUAAUGAGUAUUAACAUCUUUUUUGUUUAGGGAUGUUCAAUUAAUGCUGUAGCUAUCAGCUUUGCUCUUACCUGAAAGCUUGUCCCCACCACACAGGACAGCCUUCCUCCUGAUGAGAAUGGCCGUGUGUGUCCAAAGUUGAGAUGGCCUGCCCUACUACUGCCAAAGAGGUGACAGGAAGGUGGGAGCUGCUUUGUUAGAUUGUGUUCAGUUCCGUUGCGCAGUGCAACGCCCUUUGUUGGCGGUAUGUAUGUAUGAACACACGUGCUCGUUGGAACUCUCCUCAGCAUUUGUCCCUGGCUCCAGUCUCCCCAUUUCUGUGCCUGCUGUGCCUGAGUUCUUCUACCCCUGCAGUUGCCAGCCACAUCGGGAGGCUGGCUGUUCCGAUGGGUUGGGUUAUCUUUGUCAUCGAGAUCUGGAACUUUGCACAUGUCACUACGAGGGAGUUGUUUCUACUCUAGCAUCUACGAUGAGGUGCCCUCCUUACCAACCCUCUCAGUCACUACUCUUCCUGAAGCACUAUUAUUUAUUCUUCCUCUGUCUGCCUGAACCAUUACUACUGUCAACAUAGUGUAAAUGGUUCUCAAAAGCUUACCAGUGUGGACUUGGUCUGUCACAGCCAUGCUGUUUACUCAUACAUGUAUGUGUCCUGUUUUUAAAAUAUAAAAUUAUUCUUAAAAAUAAAUUGUAAGUAUACAGAUUUUAAUUUCAAAAAGA